AUGCAAUACAUAAAAGCUCUACCCCAGCGUCAGAGAGGAGAUGGUAUUCAUAGGGCAAAGAGGUGGGAGAUGGAGACUGUCACAGAGCAGAUGAGAACGCAGGCGCGCAGCUCCCUCGUCAAUAAACUCAGCCCCACUACAGGCUCUACUGCCGGGGAGCAGGAUGACUUGCCUUACGAUGAAGACGAAGGACUAACCUGUAAAUACAACAGUAAUUCAGAGGAUCUGCAUGACCGCAUAGAAAACAUUUCUCAUAUUUUGAGUUUAUCCUGUUCUGAAGAUAACAACAAAGCAGCAGCAGCAAGGUAUGAAACUCAUCCCCAACCUGAAGGCGUCAGGGAUUAUCACACAGCUACCACCCCAACAGCUGGAAUUUCGGCUGAAAUGCCUGCAAGUGAAGCUUCCUUUAAGAAAGAAGUGUCAGACAGGGGUUUUGGUAAAGCAGAUGGCAAGGAACAUCUAACUAACUCAAAGAUGUCCAACGUCCUCUUGCGUCAUUUUUCUGAAGGAGAGUUACUAAACACUUGCCAGCUAAUUGAGUGUGAGACCAUACCAGAGACGUCCUACACGGAAAGUGUUGGUGAAACUACGAACAAACCUGAGGCUUACAAACAUGGCAAAGGCUCUUUAACACCUGAACAAUGGGCAAUGGAAUUGGAAGGGUAUUAUUUAGAAAAGCAUGAGGAUGCACACAUGGGUGGGAAAAAUCCACGUGUGCUAAAUGGAAAUAAAUUUGUUUUAAAGAGAUCUAUUUCUUCUACUGUUAACUGUGGGUGCAGACAUGACAAUUCACAGCUGAGUAACAAGUAUGAAGACACACACCUCUCUCACAACACAAAGGAACACAGAGAACUGUUUAAGAAAACCGUUUCAUCUCAUAGGCUCAUACAUGGCCAAAGUGAAAUUCACCAUUGCCUUCCUGACUUCUCUAAAGUUACUUCAGAACUAAAAAUGCCAAAAAUAAGUGAAAAUAUUAAAUCAGUUCCUACAGUCGAACGAACAAAAUCCUUCCCUAUUUUGCUCAGUCAAUCAGUAACUGUGGACAACAUUCUAGAAAAUAACUCUUUUCAUUCUGUUGAAGUAGAGAAUCAAGAAGAGAUGAGCAUUCCAGAAUUGUUUCAACAGCUCAAGAAAGGUGGAAGGGGAAAUAUUUAG
rnacentral:lncRNA from 1 species